GAACUUAAAAUUUUUAAUUAACUCAAUUCAUCCCCCUCCGGGAACGUUAUUCUACUUUCAAGAAUAUUUUUUGUUUGGAUUUUUUCACCUUCUUCCCACGAGCCUUGCACGCCAAUUUGCACCACCCAUACCCCUAUAAAUGAGGAGUCUCGGCACAACAUCAAGGGGGGUCUCCAUUCUCACUAUUCACUCACUCCAUUCUCCCGCUCCCAUUCCCCAUUUUCUUCAUUUUCUCUCACUCUCCCUCAUCUUUUCAAGCCCAGUCGUCUCCCUCUCCUCGAUCUUCACUAUCAUCCCCAUCACCCUCUUCACCGCAGAUCUCAACGACACCCUCGACGUUGACAGCUCUCUCUCUCUCACACACACACACACACUCUCCAUCUCCCUCAUUUUCCUGCCUCACUCUCACUCAUUAUCCUCACCAACACCCUCGCUCUCUGCUCACCCACGCACUAGCCAAGCACUGGAAGCACUCUGAUCCACUCUUCCAUCCUCACACCAGUAUCCUCCGGCAGCCAACCUCCUUCUCCGACCACCCUCACGACUCAACACGCCUAAUCCCAUUCACAAAUCGUCUCUUGCAGAGUUUGAUUUCGUGAGGUUCCUCCAAAAGGUCUUAUCCGAGUAAUGUGAUUCUGAAGAAGGUGUUUGUUCUGUUCUUCUCUGUUCGGUUAGUGCUUGCUUGGCAUGCUCCGUUCUCUCUCUCUCUCCUUGAAACUCCCUAUUUUCUCACUCCCCCUCUCAGCUCCUACAACCUUGAUCUGUUGCAUUUGGCGAGUGGAUUUAGACCGAAUUGCCCUUCGGUGCAUGUAUGAUCGGCCGAUCUAUCCUCCGACUGGCGCAAGAAUUCGAGGUUAUUUCAUUUGGAUGUUCGGUCCCCGUGGUGAUGCUCGAUUGAUCGACUAGAAGGCGGCGCUGAUAGUUUUGAUCUCAUCGCUCACGUUCUUCGACCUGGAACUCAACAUUACCAUUGAGGCCUCCGGCGUGCAUCAACGGUUACAAUCUUUAGUUAUGCAGGAAUAAAAGGAAGUUUGAAGGCAAAUCAAUUGAACCGGAGGGACUGUUUAAGGUGAUUCAGAGUCACACUUAUAUAGUUGUUUAUGAUAAAUUUGGAUUGUACUUCAUUGAUUGAGUUUUGGAUUGGUUGUUUUUGCUUUCGGUUGUUCUGUUUCAUUUGGCCUCUUGGCCCCUGGGUAUGCCCAGGUUGAUCUUUAUCUUGCAAUUGUCUAGUUUUGAUUUGAUCUUCUAAUUGGGAGCUUGGCUUCCCCUUGCCUGGGUAUGCCUAGUGUAUAUUGUACA